ensembl:lncRNA
UGGCUUAAAUUGCUUCGCUAAUAGGAAUAUGCCAGUGUGCUUUUGUGAUGUUUAAUUAUGAAUAAUUGUUUCUUAUGUUUAUCCAAAUAGAUUCCCCCUCAGUCGCCCUGUUUGGAUCAGAACUCAGAGAGGAAAGAUGCAUCAAACGCACCGUGAAAUCCACAGUAUUCCCAGAGUCUGAAGACUCCGAUGAAGGCUUUGAGGAUUGUUUGCUACAUCUUCACCAUCAUCCGCAGCUCCAUCGCCAUGGGAACUGA